rnacentral:sRNA from 1 species
GUCCAGCCUGCUGUUGACCAACACUAACAGAUGAGCAAGGAGCUGGCAGCAAUGGGGCCUGGAGCUUCAGGGGACGGGGUCAGGACUGAGACAGCUCCACAUAUAGCACUGGACUCCAGAGUUGGUCUGCACGCCUACGACAUCAGCGUGGUGGUCAUCUACUUUGUCUUCGUCAUUGCUGUGGGGAUCUGGUCGUCCAUCCGUGCAAGUCGAGGGACCAUUGGCGGCUAUUUCCUGGCCGGGAGGUCCAUGAGCUGGUGGCCAAUUGGAGCAUCUCUGAUGUCCAGCAAUGUGGGCAGUGGCUUGUUCAUCGGCCUGGCUGGGACAGGGGCUGCCGGAGGCCUUGCUGUGGGUGGCUUCGAGUGGAACGUAAGGAAGCUGGCCUGGUUUCUCCAGAAUACUGAGGGUCUAACCCACCUCUGUCUCUGGCAUUAGUGCUGGGAGGAUCCUUAGAGAUGCCUGGGAGGCUACAUGGUGAAUCGAGAAUCCAUUUCACAAUCGAGAAUCCAUUUCACAGAUGAGGAAAUCAAGGUCUGGAGGAGACAGAGGGAUCCAUCCAAGGUCACACGGGAGGACUGGGGUCAGGUCCCAGGUCUCUUAUUUCUCUGUUCGGGGGCCUCCCACAGCACAGCACUGCCUCUGGGUGGGAAGCCGCCCCUCUGUCUACAUCCAGGACCUGGAUACCUUCUUCUUCUCCCCACUCUCCCAGGCAACCUGGCUGCUCCUGGCCCUUGGCUGGGUCUUCGUCCCUGUGUACAUCGCAGCAGGUGUGGUCACAAUGCCACAGUACCUGAAGAAGCGAUUUGGGGGCCAGAGGAUCCAGGUGUACAUGUCUGUCCUGUCUCUCAUCCUCUACAUCUUCACCAAGAUCUCGGGAUCCUGCUGGUGGUGACUGCCGUCUACACCAUUGCAGGGGGCCUCACGGCCGUGAUCUACACAGACGCUCUGCAGACGGUGAUCAUGGUAGGGGGAGCCCUGGUCCUCAUGUUUCUGGGUAAGGAAGAGACCUAAAUAUACCCCACCCUCAUUAUUAAAUUCCUCUCUGUCCUGUCUCUGCCACCUCCACAGUUCGAUUGAAAGUUUCCAGUGCAUAGAGCCAUGUGAGCCAUGUCCCCUCUCCAGGCUGCGGCUCCCAAAGAGCAGGGUUCUCGCUACUUCAAACCAAGGGUCUUGAGCCCAAGCCCCAUCUUCCUCCUUCACCCCCAAUCCCCAUGCCAGUUCCAACCUGAGGGCCCACAUGAGGCUGGGGCUGGGCUUGCUGAGUGACAGGCUCAGUGGGGUUUCAGGGCUGCUUCACUCACUCUCUCCUCACAGGCUUUCAGGACGUGGGCUGGUACCCAGGCCUGGAGCAGCGGUACAGGCAGGCCAUCCCUAAUGUCACAGUCCCCAACACCACCUGUCACCUCCCACGGCCCGAUGCUUUCCACAUGCUUCGGGACCCUGUGAGCGGGGACAUCCCUUGGCCAGGUCUCAUUUUCGGGCUCACAGUGCUGGCCACCUGGUGUUGGUGCACAGACCAGGUCAUUGUGCAGCGGUCUCUCUCGGCCAAGAGUCUGUCUCAUGCCAAGGGAGGCUCCGUGCUGGGGGGCUACCUGAAGAUCCUCCCCAUGUUCUUCAUCGUCAUGCCUGGCAUGAUCAGCCGGGCCCUGUUCCCAGACGAAGUGGGCUGCGUGGACCCUGAUGUCUGCCAAAGAAUCUGUGGGGCCCGAGUGGGAUGUUCCAACAUUGCCUACCCCAAGUUGGUCAUGGCCCUCAUGCCUGUUGGUCUGCGGGGGCUGAUGAUUGCCGUGAUCAUGGCCGCUCUCAUGAGCUCACUCACCUCCAUCUUCAACAGCAGCAGCACCCUGUUCACCAUUGACGUGUGGCAGCGCUUCCGCAGGAAGGCAACAGAGCAGGAGCUGAUGGUGGUGGGCAGAGUGUUUGUGGUGUUCCUGGUUGUCAUCAGCAUCCUCUGGAUCCCCAUCAUCCAAAGCUCCAACAGUGGGCAGCUCUUCGACUACAUCCAGGCUGUCACCAGUUACCUGGCCCCACCCAUCACCGCUCUCUUCCUGCUGGCCAUCUUCUGCAAGAGGGUCACAGAGCCCGGAGCUUUCUGGGGCCUCGUGUUUGGCCUGGGAGUGGGGCUUCUGCGCAUGAUCCUGGAGUUCUCAUACCCAGCGCCAGCCUGUGGGGAGGUGGACCGGAGGCCAGCAGUGCUGAAGGACUUCCACUACCUGUACUUUGCAAUCCUCCUCUGCGGGCUCACUGCCAUCGUCAUUGUCAUUGUCAGCCUCUGUACAACUCCCAUCCCUGAGGAACAGCUCACACGCCUCACAUGGUGGACUCGGAACUGCCCCCUCUCUGAGCUGGAGAAGGAGGCCCACGAGAGCACACCGGAGAUAUCCGAGAGGCCAGCCGGGGAGUGCCCUGCAGGAGGUGGAGCAGCAGAGAACUCGAGCCUGGGCCAGGAGCAGCCUGAAGCCCCAAGCAGGUCCUGGGGAAAGUUGCUCUGGAGCUGGUUCUGUGGGCUCUCUGGAACACCGGAGCAGGCCCUGAGCCCAGCAGAGAAGGCUGCGCUAGAACAGAAGCUGACAAGCAUUGAGGAGGAGCCACUCUGGAGACAUGUCUGCAACAUCAAUGCUGUCCUUUUGCUGGCCAUCAACAUCUUCCUCUGGGGCUAUUUUGCGUGAUUCCACAGACCUGGAUUCAGUGUAGACAGAUUAAACAAAGCCCAAGCCUGUCAGCCACAGAAACAGGCUCUCCUCUUACUUUGCUGUCUAAACUGGAGACCACAGAAGUCAAGACUGCAAGCUCCCCUGAAGAGAAUCCAACUCAACCUGCACACUUGACAAGUGGAGAAACAGAAGCCCAGAGAGAGCACUGGGUUUGUUCAGGACCACCCAGAAGGUGUCACAUGGGGUUUCCCCACUCUUUCUGAUAUAUUGCCUUACAGACCUACCUCAAACACACUGUUUCCACCCUCUUCUUGAAUGUAUUCAGUAGCCUUUACUGAAUGUGUGUCUUGAGAGUAGAAAAGUGGAGGAUACAAGAAAAGGAGCAGGAAGAAAUUUGCAAAAAUCCAAGAGCACCUUUGCUCCCCCUUAUCCUCCUUCCUCUUCCCCUUUCUAGUUCCCCUACCUCUCUAUCUUUCUAUUCUCACCAAUAAUCUAUUUGUUGCAUGAAUUUACCCAGGAGAGUCCUAUAUUUCCAUUGGUGGCUCCACAGUGGUGGCUGUCAGCCCCGAAGGGGUGGGGAGCCAAGGGUGGACUUUAAGCAUGGUGACAGAUGGUAUUUUGGGCAGAAAGCUCUUAGACAAUGGACUAUCCAAAGCACUAUUUAAAUUCUGCCUCUUCCUACUCUCUAACCCAAAUAUGCACGAACUCUCUAUGGCCUUGAGAAGCAGUUGGAGAGACAUGACUUGUUAAAACCUCAAGGAAUCAAGACAUGUUACUCUGUAUUUAAGGGUAAGCCCCACAGCGGGCAGCACAAACAGCCUGGGAGCCACUGUGCCUGUGCUUCUCUGUCCUUCUCCCUUUGCUUGCCAUGAAUCCGCAUACCUUGGAAUACACUGUGACCCCAGUUAAGUGUCCCUUUGCCAGGAAGCUGCCGCAACGUCCAGACCUGGGUCAAGGUCCCACUCCUGCUCCCAUAGCCUUGACCUGCUUCUGUCACAGCACUGAUCACACUGAGAUGGAAGACUCCAGGGGGCAAGGACCAAGGGCCAUAUCCCAAGUGACUUUGUACCCAGAAAAUAACAGCUGUUCAAUAAAUGUGUAUUGAGUUAAUUAGU